UAAGAAAAGAUUAGAGUCUGCUUUGUUUUCACUGGUACACAAAGAUGUCUGUCAAUCUCCCUGUCUGUCUAUCCAUCUAGCUCUCUGUCUCAGAGAGCCACAAGACUGCGUCGUCAUCACGUUUACUCACAUCUUCAAACACAGUAUAGCACUUUGUCCUGAUUUUUUGGGUUAUCCUAGUAUUACAGGAUGAAGUUCACAAGAUGGACAUCCAAGAACUAUGGAAAAUCACAAAACAUUACAGAAAGAUCAAUGACUUUGCAGAAAUGCAAGAGAAUUUGAGCCAUCAAGAAUCACAGCACAAUCACGAGGCUACAAAUUAUCUUGACCUGCCAGUGAAGAGAUCCUUCCAGUGAGCACGUUCAAACUCAGGGUGAGCAGCUAGAGCUUCACCCAUCACCUCUGCUGCCUCCACACCAAGAGUGUUGGCUUCCAACUCAUUCAUGUACAACUUGUCAGACACUGCAACAUCAUGGAAUCUUGGUUCUGAGGACCUCUCCACAACCUUCUUCACUUCUACUACCCUGUCCCUUGGGUACGACCUACUUCCACUGGGGAAUCCCGCCUACCAGUGACAAUGCCUUCGUCUGCUACCUGUCCCCUUUCACCUGAUGCCAUUAUAUAAGCGCCAGCCUUCUUGCCUGUGCUCCAGAUUCUUCACGACUACAGUGCUUUUCACACCAACUCCAAGGCUGAGGAACUGAUUACCUCCUCUUUUUGUAUAUAGUUCUACUGUUUUCAAAUUAUGUCCUAGAAUUUGUAUUGAUAAAGCCACUGGAUGGUGAAAUGUCUACAUUAAAGAUAUAUACCCAGAUGUUUCAUAUGUCUAAUUUUCAUCUUGUUGGUAUUUUUAUACCAAUCAUGUACAAAGUCAAAGUUAUUUAUUUCCAUUAGGGUCCCUGGAACAUGGACAUCGAGAGAUACAUAAAACUCUCUUGAGCAUACUCGAUGUCUAAUAGAG